rnacentral:rRNA from 1 species
UACGGAGGGGACUAGCGUUGUUCGGAAUUACUGGGCGUAAAGCGCACGUAGGCGGACAUUUAAGUCAGGGGUGAAAUCCCAGAGCUCAACUCUGGAACUGCCUUUGAUACUGGGUGUCUUGAGUAUGGAAGAGGUGAGUGGAAUUCCGAGUGUAGAGGUGAAAUUCGUAGAUAUUCGGAGGAACACCAGUGGCGAAGGCGGCUCACUGGUCCAUUACUGACGCUGAGGUGCGAAAGCGUGGGGAGCAAACAGG